rnacentral:rRNA from 1 species
GUGAUCCUGCCAGUAGUCAUAUGCUUGUCUCAAAGAUUAAGCCAUGCAUGUCUCAGUACAAACCAUAUUAAGGUGAAACCGCGAAAGGCUCAUUAUAUCAGUUAUGGUUCCUUAGAUCGUACACACAUUUACUUGGAUAACUGUGGUAAUUCUAGAGCUAAUACAUGCAAACAGAGUUCCGACCAGAGAUGGAAGGAAUGCUUUUAUUAGAUCAAAACCAAUCGAUGGUAACCAUGCCAGAUUAUAUGUUUAUAUGUUUAUAUUUAUAUAUUUGGUGUUUUUUGGUUAUUAUCGUUUAAUUUGGUGACUCUGAAUAACUUUAAGCUGAUCGUACGGUCUUGUACCGACGACGCAUCUUUCAAAUGUCUGCCUUAUCAACUGUCGAUGGUAGGUUCUGCGCCUACCAUGGUUGUAACGGGUAACGGGGAAUCAGGGUUCGAUUCCGGAGAGGGAGCCUGAGAAACGGCUACCACAUCCAAGGAAGGCAGCAGGCGCGCAAAUUACCCACUCCCGGCACGGGGAGGUAGUGACGAAAAAUAACGAUACGGGACUCAUCCGAGGCCCCGUAAUCGGAAUGAGUACACUUUAAAUCCUUUAACGAGGAUCCAUUGGAGGGCAAGUCUGGUGCCAGCAGCCGCGGUAAUUCCAGCUCCAAUAGCGUAUAUUAAAGUUGUUGCGGUUAAAAAGCUCGUAGUCGAAUCUGUGUCCCACACUGUCGGUUCACCGCUCGCGGUGUUUAACUGGCAUGUUAUGUGGGACGUCCUACCGGUGGGUGGUGUAAAUUUAUUCCUAAUAUAUAUUAACUUAAAUAAUAUUCAUAUGUAUAUAUAUUAAACGUUCACGAUUUGUUGUUUGUGUGUAUGUGUGUAUUUAAGUUGUUUGUGUUGUCUUUUGUUGUAUUUAUUGUUAUUAUAAUAUAUAUAUAUAUAUAUCUCAUAUCAUAUCAUAUCUUAUAUAAAAUAAGAGUGUGUUGUUGUUGUUGUUGUGUGUUGUUGAGAGUGUGUGUGCCACACACACGGCCAGCAGUGAGCACCCAGCAGCACCCACAUAUAUAUAUAUGUAUAUGUGUAUGUUUAUGUGUGUGUGUGUGUGUGUAUAGGUAUAACAGUUGCAACUUGAGAUGCACACAAGGUGCGCACAUAUACCAUGCAAAUUCGUUGCGUUGUUGUAUAUGUGUGAUAUUUUUGUAUAUAUAUAUAUUUAUGUGGAUAAUUUACCGUAAGUGUUUAGCCGUGAAGAACGGCGGCAACCCCCAAUUGAAAUCCCGUCGCGGUGCUCUUAAUUGAGUGUCGAGAUGGGCCGGUACGUUUACUUUGAACAAAUUAGAGUGCUUAAGGCAGGCUCAAAUUUCGCCUGAAUAUUGUGUGCAUGGAAUAAUGGAAUAGGACCUCGGUUCUAUUUUGUUGGUUUUCGGAACUCCGAGGUAAUGAUUAAUACGGACAGAUGGGGGCAUUCGUAUUGCGACGUUAGAGGUGAAAUUCUUGGAUCGUCGCAAGACGGACAGAAGCGAAAGCAUUUGCCAAAAAUGUUUUGAUUGAUCAAGAACGAAAGUUAGAGGUUCGAAGGCGAUCAGAUACCGCCCUAAUUCUAACCAUAAACGAUGCCAGCUAGCGAUCCGCCGAAGUUCCUCCGAUGACUCGGCGGGCAGCUUCCGGGAAACCAAAGCUUUUGGGUUCCGGGGGAAGUAUGGUUGCAAAGCUGAAACUUAAAGGAAUUGACGGAAGGGCACCACCAGGAGUGGAGCCUGCGGCUUAAUUUGACUCAACACGGGAAACCUCACCAGGCCCGGACACCGGAAGGAUUGACAGAUUGAGAGCUCUUUCUUGAUUCGGUGGGUGGUGGUGCAUGGCCGUUCUUAGUUGGUGGAGCGAUUUGUCUGGUUAAUUCCGAUAACGAACGAGACUCUAGCCUGCUAAAUAGACGUACUUUACCGGCAUCUCAAGGCCCACCGGCUGCUAGUUUUCCAUUAUGUUGUUUACAUGUUUUUUUCAAUAUCUUCUUAUUUUCAAUAUUUUAACACACUAUUUUAUAUAUAUUUAUAUGUAUUUAUAUUAUUAUUAUAUUAUAUUAUGUGUGUGUGUGUCUGUUUGUCUAUUUUAUAUAUGGGGUAUAUUAUUUUUAUAUACAUUUGUGUGUAUAAUUAAUUACCCCCUCUAUAUAUUUAUAGAUAUAUAUAAAGAUACAUAUAUAUGUAUGUCCUAAUAUAAUGGUGGUGGUGUGUGUGGUGUAUGUGUUUGUGUUUUAUAUUAUAUUGUUAUGAUGGAAGAAUGGAAUGGCAUGUUUAACACGUAUGGGCUACAGUUUUUUGGUGUGGUUUUUACUGCCGGCGUACAAAUAAUUCUUCUUAGAGGGACAGGCGGCUUCUAGCCGCACGAAGAUUGAGCAAUAACAGGUCUGUGAUGCCCUUAGAUUUUUUGGGCCGCACGCGCGCUACACUGAAGGAAUCAGCGUGUCCUCCCUGGCCGAAAGGUCCGGGUAACCCGCUGAACCUCCUUCGUGCUAGGGAUUGGGGCUUGCAAUUGUUCCCCAUGAACGAGGAAUUCCCAGUAAGCGCGAGUCAUAAGCUCGCGUUGAUUACGUCCCUGCCCUUUGUACACACCGCCCGUCGCUACUACCGAUUGAAUGAUUUAGUGAGGUCUUCGGACUGGUACGCGGUAACGUUUCCGACAUUACCGAUGUUGCUGGGAAGAUGACCAAACUUGAUCAUUUAGAGGAAGUAAAAGUCGUAACAAGGUUUCCGU